UGGGGAAUAUUGCACAAUGGGGGAAACCCUGAUGCAGCGACGCCGCGUGAGCGAAGAAGGUUUUCGAAUCGUAAAGCUCUGUCCUAUGAGAAGAUAAGGACGGUAUCAUAGGAGGAAGCCCCGGCUAAAUACGUGCCAGCAGCCGCGGUAAUACGUAUGAGGCGAGCGUUGUCCGGAAUUAUUGGGCGUAAAGGGUACGUAGGCGGUCUAUUAAGUCAGGUGUGAAAGCGUGAGGCUUAACCUCAUUAAGCACUUGAAACUGAUAGACUUGAGUGAAGGAGAGGAAAGUGGAAUUCCUAGUGUAGCGGUGAAAUGCGUAGAUAUUAGGAGGAAUACCGGUGGCGAAGGCGACUUUCUGGACUUUUACUGACGCUCAGGUACGAAAGCGUGGGGAGCAAACAGG
rnacentral:rRNA from 1 species